CUAGUUGGAACAUUUCAAAAAUUUGAAGGCCAAAAUGAACACUUGGAAAAGUUUGAAGACCAAAAUUGAAGAAGCUAGAAAUCCAGGGAUCUCAUUGAAGUUAAUUAAAAUUCUGUGAUCCAAUUACGAAAAACCAAACUUUAAUGACCCAAAUGAGAUUUUACAUAAAGUUCAAUGAUUGCUAAGGAAAUUUACCCAUUUUCCAAAUGUUAGGUGUCUGAUGCGAUAUCCAAGUUAUAAAAGCAUGUUGAAAAUGCAUUGUAAAAGUGUAAUAAUUAAUAAUUAGGGUAAGAAACAUUAGUUGAAUGUAGUCGAUAUGAUAAUAGCAGUGAAUAAUGAAUAUGAAAACAAGAAUUAUAUGCAAAAAGGAGAUAAGUAUAUCAAGAAUUGGACCAUCUGAAUAUAUGUAAUACUAACUUUUAAUACGUAUUACAUACGUUUUUAUGACAUAUUGCGAAAGAACAACAAUAGUGUACCAAAAAAAAAAAAGAAAAACCAACAAUCCCAUAGCAAGAAUAGCAAAAGUUUUUCAAGAAUUGGACCACCUAAUAGAUGCACAAUUAAGAACUUGGGCCAUAGCAGAAAUUACACUGAAGUCAUAAUGCAACUUUUAAACAAGCAAUGUUAGCUCCCGUUUGGCCCCAUUAAAUUUCAUUCUAUUACAUUUCAUUUUUCUUUUUCUUAUUUUGAAUCACACAAUCUUUCAUAAAAUAAUAUUAAAUGUAAAUCAAAAUUUUUUCAUUCUUUUUCAACCAUUUAUUUUAAAAAAAUAUAUUAUUCCACUUAUUUUCAUUUCAAAAAAUGAUGGUCAGACUGGGGCUUAAGCUUUAUUGCGAAACAAAUCUCUUCGUCCUUGAUAGAUCUUAUUCAUAUCUUGCUCUAUACAUAUUGCCUAUAAUGUACUUUGAACAGCAAUAAGAGAAACAAUAAUUUAUAGCGAAAAAAUCUUUUGAAAUUAAGAAUAACGAGUCAGACUAGGUAAUAGUGGAACCCCCCUCUUGUGAGGGGCUGUAAAACUUGUUGUACUUCUUAUUUGUUGACCGCGUACGUAGCCACAUUAUUAAUUGGAUAAAACUGGACGUCCAGGGGCCUAUUUGGCGCCCCCCUAUUGGGGGGUCGUCUGACAGUGACAGGCGACCCCCCAAUAGGGGGGCGCCAAAUAGGCGCCUGGACGUCCAGCACGUCCCUUAUUAAUUUUAAGAUAGACGAAAAAAAAAAAAAAAAAAAAAAAACAUAUGAAGCAUCUUAUUACAAGUUUUGGAUAAGGAUAAUCUGAACGAGUCUCGCAAUCCAACCACGUGGAAAAUGCUCUUAGAAAAUAGUUCCUUCUUGAUAAGAAAACCAAAAAUAAUUUCUUAUGGAAAAAUAGUUUUUCUUAUCUUUUUUUUUUUUUUUUUCCUUAAUAACUUAUUCUCGCGAGUGCUCAAAUUGAAAAUUCCUUAACUCCCCACAAAUAAGAAGUUUUUAAUUAUUUCUUAAACUUAUAUGGUAAAGGAACAAAAUCUAAAAACUUUUAAAUGUCAGUCAUUAUGUGCAGUUUAAUAAAACAUGUAGAGAUUGUCAAAAUAUUUUUUAUUCAGUAUACUUAUAUUUGAUUGUUACAAAAAAAGAAGUUUGUAAAUGCAAUAAUAUUAAUCUAUGCAAAAUAAAUUACAACCAUUGUAGAUGAAUAAGAACCUAAAAAGGAUGUUUGACUUAGAGGCUGUUUGAGAGUGAUUUUGAGAAUUGAUUUUUUGAUCGAUAGAAGAAAAGUGGGGUCUAUCUGUGAGAGAAGAAGUCAAAUUAACGGCUGAAAUAGUGAAAUAACGGUCAAAAAAUAAAUUUUUUUGGUGAAAAAAUUGGACCCAAACAGCCCUUAGCUUAAAUGUUGCACAAAAAUCUAAGAUCUCACUAUCGAGAACGCUAAUGAUUAGAAUUUAAAUUAAUAAAUAACUUGGUGAAUGUUUAAUGUGGACUUUAUAAGAAUAAAUUAUAAUAUUUCCGGUGCCUACCAUGUCCUGAUUUUUUUCUGAGAUGUUAUGGUAUGAAUAUGUGAAUGUGAAUUGACCUACAUUAUGAUUAUGGUAGGGCAGUCUCAUUCCACACUUUCUACAUAUUUUUCAUGAGUUGGGGGACCCAUGCAAUAAUUCCCCAUAAAUGGAUCAUCUAGAAAGACUAGACAUGUCACGUUUACCUUAUGCCAAGGCUAUAUAAAUUUCCGUGGAGUAAUCAUACAACCCUGGUCUAUUCUAUAAAGUUAAUUAUUUGUUAAUUAAAUAUAGAAAACGUUUAGUCCCUGUUUUGCCUCAAUUUUUAAGAUUUUUUUUUCUAAACCCAUUUUAAACCACACAUUUAAUUAAAAUCCACAACUUUUAUUAAAUUUUCAACCAUACAUUUUUAUCAGUUUUUAUCAAAAUAUAACAAAAACAAAUUCAUUUUUAGUCAAGUCAAACAGGGACUAAGUGCCAUAAAUACUUGGGAUAAUAUAAGUUGGGUGCUUACGUAGAGAAGGACAAUGUGACACAACUAUAAUUUAUCAAGAAUUAAAACGAGUUGACAACUAAUGAAUAAGGUGAUACCCUAUAUGUUAAGGUUAUGGUGUCGUCCAUUCCUCAAUUGAUGUGAGCAAUUUGUUCUAUUCGGGGGAUGGUAUUUCUUAGUAUUGCCACAAGUGAACUUAGAAUAUACUGGACCCGAGCACUUGUUAGAGUUUAAUUCUGUAACAUGAUCUUACAAAUCACCCUAUGGUUUGCCUAAAUACUAUGACACGAUAAUAGACGCUAUUCAUAAGCUAGGAGGUACUUUCAUGUACUAAUGAGAGAGAUCAAUUACCCAUGGUCAAAUACAUCAAUAUGCAAUGGAAUAGACAUUUAUUCGUGUAGGAAAUCGGAAAAGUAUGACCUUAAAUAUUUUAGUCGAUAGCGAUAAAACCCAACCUUAGUAGUGACGCUAAAUCCGACAUCUAUGAUUGGAUCAUCAUAGAAGCCAUUAAAGAAAAUGGACUUAAGUGAAUGAACUAAUUAGAAGGGAAAAAACUGCUAAUACUUAAUUAUUGAAAUCUUGGAUGAUGUAAAAGGUAAGCUCGGAAGGUCAGAAAAUGUAAUUACUUUAUAAUUCUAGGGUCCAAUGUCGUACCUUUAGAUUAAUGAAUGAUUGUUGAUAAAAUAAUUAGACAGGAAAAUCGAGAUUUGGAUAAGUCUAAUUAUUGGAUCUUGAAUUAUACAUGCCAUAUUAUAUCUUUUUGGUAGAUCCUAGUAAAUCGAUACUCGUCACAAAAUAGAUCUAAUUUUUUUUUAGGAACAAGUGAUCGACACGUAUAAUAUAUUAUCAUUAAUUAAUGAUGGAAUGUCUCACACCGGAUUCAAUAAUGAACAUGCAUUAAGACACUGUUAGAAUCAAUAUUUGUGUCUAUUUAAUAAGUAGAUUUUGUUCGAUGAAUUUUCGUAAGCGUACAGGGUCGAUGAUAAGUAAUAGUUUUGAGUGAACUUAUCUUUCUCACAAGGAAUAGGCUUUGACUUGAAUUUUAUCAAUUCAUGAUCAAAUACAGAGAUAGCAAACACAACUGAUGAGUUGAAUGUUUUUAUUAACUACUGAUGAGUUGAGUGUUUAAUUGUAGAGCUCAUUCUACUUAAUUCAACAGUCUCCUUUCAGUAAAAUUAAAUUUAAACUAACAAUUUAUAAAACUAUAAAAUUAACCAUAACUACGCAAAAAAAAAAAAAAUAUAUUUUACUUACCUUUAAAUUGAAGAAUUUAAACUUACUAGUUGGAAGCACUUAUUUUCUAAAAACGUAAGUGAACUUUCCUAUCAUUUUUUUUCUUCCUUUCUCUUUCUCUCUCGCUCUCUCUCUUUUUCUUUCUUCUUUCUCCUUUCUUUUCCCUCCUAGUUCUUGGCUAUGUGUGUUUCGUGUGUUGUGUGUGUAACUAUAAAUGGAUUUGCUUUGGACAUAGGCGUAUUG
rnacentral:lncRNA from 1 species